rnacentral:rRNA from 1 species
CUGUUUACCAAAGACAUAGCCCUAGAAAUAAUCUAAGGUGUAACCUGCCCAGUGGUUUUAAAUAUAUAGUAGAAAAAAUUAAAAAUAAAACUAAAAGGACGCGGUAACCUUGACCGUGAUAAUGUAGCAUAAUCACUCGCCAUUUAAUUGAUGGAUAGUAUGAAUGGUUGAACGAAUAUUACACUGUCUUAAAGAGAAUUACAAGAAAUUGAAGUAAUAGUUAAGAUGCUAUUUAAAACUGUAAGACGAAAAGACCCUAUAGAGCUUAACUAUAGCCUCUUUACUUAAUAAGAAAAAUGAUUUUCUUAAAUAAAGAGGUUGGUAGUUUAGUUGGGGCGACUGUCUUCUAAAAUUAACGAAGACAAGCGAUGUUAAUAGAAAACUUAUUGUAUAAUGAAUUUAUUUAACAAUUAUUAAAGUAGGCUAUAUUGACCCGUUUUUACUACAAAACAAGGAAAAACGAUCAAUUGAUAAAAGCUACCUUAGGGAUAACAGGAUAAUUUCAUUUUAGAGCUCAUAUCGAAAAUGAAGUUUGUCACCUCUAUGUUGAAUUAAGAUAUCCUGGUAAUGCAGCAGUUACCAAAGGUAGGUCUGUUCGACCUUUAAAAUCUUACAUGAUUUGAGUUCAUUCCGUCGCAAGACAGGAAGGUUUCUAUCU